GACAGAGGGUGCAAACGUUGUUCGGAAUUACUGGGCGUAAAGCGCGUGUAGGCUGCUCAGAAAGUCGGAUGUGAAAGCCCUGGGCUUAACCUAGGAAGUGCAUUCGAAACUUCUGAGCUUGAGUUCUGGAGAGGAAGGCGGAAUUCUCGGUGUAGAGGUGAAAUUCGUAGAUAUCGAGAGGAACACCGGUGGCGAAGGCGGCCUUCUGGACAGUGACUGACGCUGAGACGCGAAAGCGUGGGGAGCAAACAGGA
rnacentral:rRNA from 1 species